AUUGAACGCUGGCGGUAGGCCUAACACAUGCAAGUCGAGCGCGAAAGUGCCUUCGGGCGCGAGUAGAGCGGCGGACGGGUGCGUAACGCGUAGGAAUCUGCCUGGUAGUGGGGGAUAACUCGGGGAAACUCGAGCUAAUACCGCAUACGCCCCACGGGGGAAAGCGGGGGGACCUUCGGGCCUCGCGCUAUCAGAUGAGCCUGCGUCGGAUUAGCUAGUUGGUAGGGUAAUGGCCUACCAAGGCGACGAUCCGUAGCUGGUCGUGAGAGGAUGAUCAGCCACACUGGGACUGAGACACGGCCC
rnacentral:rRNA from 1 species